CCCUUAGAUGUCCUGGGCUGCACGCGCGCUACACUGAUGUGUCCAGUAAGCACCUAACCUCUUCCGAAAGGAACGGGUAACCUUUGCAAAGCACAUCGUGAUGGGGAUAGAUUAUUGCAAUUAUCAGUCUUGAACGAGGAAUUCCUAGUAAGCACAAGUCAUCAGCUUGUGUUGAUUACGUCCCUGCCCUUUGUACACACCGCCCGUCGCUCCUACCGAUUGAAUGUUCCGGUGAGCUCUUCGGACUGCGCGGUCUGCAGUUUCUGCGUUCCGUGCGGAAAGUUGCGCAAACCUUAACAUUUAGAGGAAGGAGAAGUCGUAACA
rnacentral:rRNA from 1 species